ensembl:lncRNA
GAUAGUUCCCGAGUAUCAAAAGCUUUUUUUUUUUUUAAACCAUUAUUUAACUAGGAAACAGCCGAGGAACAGUGGGUUAACUGCCUUGUGCAGGGGCAGAAUGACAGAUUUAUACCUUGGGGAUUUGAACUUGCAACCUUCCAGUUAGAAGUCCACCACUCUAACCACUGGGCCACCUGUUUCCCCAGCUACCCUGCAUGCAGUUAAGAUACAUGUGUGUCGUGAGCCUUGUACCGAACGGAGAGAAGAAGAAGAGUGUCAAGGAUGAAACAUCAAUGACGGUAGGAGAGCAACCAACGAAAUGGAAAGUCACAGUAAUAAGUUGAAUGGAAACACUUCGUUUUUUUUGGUACAUUUUUUAAUACAACAUUUCAACAUACAGUGUCUAGUGUCAUAAACAAUACAAUGCUAUUAAAACACAGAAUAAUACAAAAAAUUAUUUAUUUUUUUAACCAUGCAUUCUUUACUCAAGUAUUCAUACGUAAGAACGACCCUCUUUUCUAGGUUGUGAGUUCCCUGCGGUCAAGGACAAUGGUCAGGUUUUCUGACUCUCUUUGCAUUUCAUCUCUGUGUAUUUAUUACUUAUCAGUCCAUCUUCCCUCUUGUUUUUAAGCAUGUUAAUUGAAUGUGUGUCUGAUUAUAUGCCAACUUGUUUUAAGUCAAACCCAGUGCUUUUCACUGCGCUGUAGUUUGUCAACCAUUUUGUUUAGCGAACCAGAGACAUCCCUUAUUGGUAUUAGGAAGGUGGUGGGAAACAAGUAUUUCAUUAACAAAAUGACAUAUAAAAAUGAAGGACAAAACACAGUAGAGAAGUUCCCCCUGAAACCAUUAUGAUAAACAUAUGAUUAUAAUCAUCAUCAAUACUAUUACUAAUUAUUAUUACCAUUAUCAUUCCAGUUGUAAGGACUCAUUUACUCAUGAAUGUAAAAACUAAAUCAAGACUACAUAUUCCUCUUUAGCGAACAACAAAAUAUAGUACAAUCUGCCCCUCAGAGCAUAGGAAGCUUUCAGUCAGUGCUGUGUAUGAAUAAGAAAUGCAUUUAAGGCUGAUUUGAUUUGACACGCCAAUCCCUCAAUUUCCAAUGGGCAGAAAUGGAAGCUGACAAAAGUAGAAUCCAAAAUGGAAGCCGAUGAAAGAUCAACAGAACAAUGGUAUAAUACAGAUGACAUUAUGAUAUGAUCAUUCCUUUCUAUGGUCCAAGAACCGUACCUAAACCGAAAGGCAGCUGAUCUGUAAUCGUUAUCGAACCUAAUUGGUUGGAGUGUACUCCUCCCUCGGCUUAAACAAAACGUGUCCCUCAGGACAGCUAUCGGGUUCUAAUUUAAAUGAACAAUGUGUUUUUGUUGAAUCCAUAUCCUUUGCAAUACUGUUGCUAACAUCUGAAAUGUAUCUGAAAUACUGAAAUGUAACUGACAGUUUAAAGAUAUUCUGUCAACAAGGCAUUUGAACAAGUUGUAGUGAAUGACUGCUAAAUUUCACACCUUUUUUACAUCUUUGGUUGUUUUCUCCGUCAAGCUUUCACAUAAAUCAGGCCAUCAUAUCCUCUUAAUUGUGGAAGCAAAUGGAGAUGUACGCUUAAUUGUGUUACGGAUAUGUCAUUUAAGAUUUCACUCAGUAUAACUAAACCUGAUUCUUUGCUAGUCUAGUGACCUUAAUGCUGAAGGACUACGCCACACACACAUAUAUAUAUAUAUAUAUGUAUAUAUAUAUAUAAACAAACAAACAAACAAAGGCCUGAAAGAAAAUGUCCUUGUGGUGUCUACAUAUCUAUGCAUCUCAAUCAAAAAUCUGCAUCAGUGUCUGUAACUGUCAUCAGAAACUACGCCUUUCUGUCUUUUAGUAACUACAAACUCUAAUUGGGACCUACCAAUAUAAACCUACCAGUUUUCCUUCUAAAAUCAAACAGCAGAAGUGACUAGAUGAUGUGUGGAGACGCAGAGGAGGUGUCAGCAAGUUAUUUACAUAUUAACCCAAUAAGAUACUGUAUCUGUAUUUCAUGGUGCUGAGUGUGAUGGAAAGGAGAUUUACAACAUGGUUCCAGAUGAAAUGUUUAUCUAGUCAGAUUAAUAAAACCAGUUUAGUCGACUAUUAUCCAGCUGUAGUGACAGGAGUCAUUGUCUCAAAGGGCUGACAGUCAGACCUGACAGAUGGACCCCAUAGAGAUGGUUAGAGAACUCAUCAUGGAUAUAACCAAUUUUUUUGCAUGAAAAUUGUGCUAUCAUAGAUGCCGUAAUUGGACAGAUACAAAGAUGAGUCCUCUAACUAACUCUAUGAUGGAUACACAUUUUUACGGAAACCUCUGUUGACAUUGACAUGUAGACUCAUCAAGGGGUAAGUGAAAGCAUUAGAAAACCGAUUAUAACCGAAGCUCAUCACUAAAAAUAAAGCUAUAUAUUAUAAGGUAUGGCAGCAGCAGUGUGCCAGUGUAACACAUCAUGAUCCCCCUCCGAUAAUUGUACAGAGGAUUAGAAUUUCAAACGUGUGAAGAAGGACGAAUUGUCUGGACAUACUGUAGAUAGACGGAGACUGGCUUUCAUGAUAUAUGCACACUAAAAAAGCAACACUUGGUAUCUUGCAAAAAACAAACUACAUAUGGAUACAUCAUCAUCCUCAUUUUGGGGGGGAGGAACAUCAUCAUCAUUAUGCGUGUACAUCAUCAUCAUUAUGUGUGUACAUCAUCAUCAUCAUUAUGUGGGUACAUCAUCAUUAUGUGUGUACAUCAUCAUCAUCAUUAUGUGGGUACAUCAUCAUUAUGCGUGUACAUCAUCAUCAUCAUUAUGUGGGUACAUCAUCAUUAUGCGUGUACAUCAUCAUUAUGUGUGUACAUCAUCAUCAUCAUCAUCAUUAUGUGUGUACAUCAUCAUCAUCAUUAUGCGUGUACAUCAUCAUUAUGUGUGUACAUCAUCAUCAUCAUUAUGCGUGUACAUCAUCAUUAUGUGGGUUUUCUCAUCACCACUCAUUUUGGUAGUACACUCAUCUAACCUGCAUUGACCACUCACCUCCACCGGACAUUACCUUACAUUAUUGCAAAGGGUCACUUUCAAAGUCAAAACUCAAUGGGGAAAAACAUGAUAAUACAUUUGAUAAUAUGUCAACAACGAAAAAAAUCACUUGAAAUAGGUGACCCAUGAGAAAAGGUACAUAUUGAAGAAUCAAUUAUCUACGCUAAGAUUGAACGAAUUGCAAUACACUAUUUAUUUCUCUAUUUUUCUUUUUUUUUUUACAAUUUGAGGCUGUAUCAAAAACUUUGUAAAAAAAUUAGAUAGAGAUUUAUCCACCAUUUUGUUCAGUGUUUUCUGGUGAUCUUGUUCUUCAGAUCUCUCCUCUCCUCUCCUCUCCUCUCCUCUCUCUCUCCUCUCCUCUCCUCUCCUCUCCUCUCCUCUCCUCUCCUCUCCUCUCCUCUCCUCUCCUCUCCUCUCCAUCUCCUCUCCAUCUCCUCUCCAUCUCCUCUCCUCUCCUCUCCAUCUCCUCUCCAUCUCCUCUCCAUCUCCUCUCCAUCUCCUCUCCAUCUCCUCUCCUCGUCUUAAUGACCUUUGAGUUGUGAAUAAAGAUCGUAUCCCUUUCAGGACCUUCUAAAUCACUCUCAACAGCAAUGAACUGUUUCCCGCAUAAACUGUGAGAACAAGAGCAUCAUCAUCACUACAUAAAAAAAUAAUUACUCCUUGUCUAAAAUAAACUGCAGGAGGCUUUUUCCAUAUCUGAUUUACACAAACAUUUUUUGAAGUAUAAAUACACUUAAUAUUAUUUCAACAGGCCGAUCGAUAGCUAUAUACAGAAGACACAUCGCAUCACCAUAAAGGCAACAUGGCAUUCAAAUGGUCAAUGUUAUGAUCAUAUUCGGAUAAGGGAGCCAUUUUAAAUAAUAAUAAUAAUAAUAAUAAAAAGAGAAUAGUGUAUUGUAUUUCCCUCUUGAGUGAUUUUGGGUGGCUUCGGGAUACCCAGGCAAGGUAAAAAUCCUUGAGCUUCAAGUCAAAACUACACAUCUGAUAAUAACUGGGCCAGGCUGUUGUAGAAUCACAGUUGUCAUGGUUGCCCUACGUGCUAACAUUAGCUAACGGUAAUGUUUGCUUGUUUAGUCCUGACUGGGCUGGGUCUACCUACUUGGUUUACCGUUUCUUUCUGAUCGAGGGAGAGAUCCUGUAUAUCUAUCUAUCUAUCUAUCUAUCUAUCUAUCUAUCUAUCUAUCUAUCUAUCUAUCUAUCUAUCUAUCUAUCUA